rnacentral:rRNA from 1 species
AUUGAACGCUAGCGGCAUGCUUUACACAUGCAAGUCGAACGAGUGGCGGAAGGGUGUGCUAUAUAUCGGAAUGUGCGCAGUAGAGGGGGAUAACUACUCGAAAGUGGGCUUCUACCGUACACUUUUGGACCGGCCGUUAUCGGAUUAGCGAGUGGGUGGGGUAAAGGCUCACCAAGGCAACGAUCCGUAGCUGGUUUGAGAGGAAGACCAGCCACACUGGGACUGGGACACGGCCCAGACUCCUACGAGAGGCAGCAGUGGGGAAUUUUGGACAAUGGGGGAAACCCUGAUCCAGCCAGCCCGCGUGUAUGAUGAAGGCCUUAGGGUUGUAAAGUACUUUUGGUAGAGAAGCGGUAUCUGCAGAAUAAGCACCGGCUAACUACGUGCCAGCAGCCGCGGUAAUUC